CAGAAGACGCAUCAAUCUGUCUCCACUAAAGACAUCGAGAAAGACGGAGACGUUAGGAAGGCCGGGAUAUUUCAAUGAAGGAUGCUGCUCAUUGGCGACCCAACUAUGUAGGACCUUUCACCAAAACGGACCAACGGAGUAUCUGACGUGACCGUCCUUCGACCAGGCGAGAGCUGCGGAUAACGAUGCAACGUAUAGUGAUAUUCCGUUCCCAGAAGUCAAACAAAUAUCCAGACAUUGCCUGUCUCAAGAGGGUGUUGGGGAAAAAUGCAGGCAACGUGAAUAUACGGUAUCGUAUUCUAGCGCACGAUUUUCGUUUUGAA